AUGAACGCUGGCGGCGUGCUUAACACAUGCAAGUCGAACGAAGCACUUUAUUUGAUUUCCUUCGGGACUGAUUAUUUUGUGACUGAGUGGCGGACGGGUGAGUAACGCGUGGGUAACCUGCCUUGUACAGGGGGAUAACAGUUGGAAACGGCUGCUAAUACCGCAUAAGCGCACAGCAUCGCAUGAUGCAGUGUGAAAAACUCCGGUGGUAUAAGAUGGACCCGCGUUGGAUUAGCUAGUUGGUGAGGUAGCGGCCCACCAAGGCGACGAUCCAUAGCCGACCUGAGAGGGUGACCGGCCACAUUGGGACUGAGACACGGCCCAAACUCCUACGGGAGGCAGCAGUGGGGAAUAUUGCACAAUGGGCGAAAGCCUGAUGCAGCGACGCCGCGUGAGCGAAGAAGUAUUUCGGUAUGUAAAGCUCUAUCAGCAGGGAAGAUAAUGACGGUACCUGACUAAGAAGCACCGGCUAAAUACGUG
rnacentral:rRNA from 1 species